rnacentral:rRNA from 1 species
GAUGAACGCUGGCGGCGUGCUUAACACAUGCAAGUCGAACGGAAAGGCUCCUGCUUGCAGGGGUACUCGAGUGGCGAACGGGUGAGUAACACGUGGGUGAUCUGCCCUGCACUUCGGGAUAAGCCUGGGAAACUGGGUCUAAUACCGGAGAGGACGAUGGGUUGGAUGCCAUUGUUGAGAGUUUUUCGGUGUGGGAUGAGCUCGCUGCCUAUCAGCUUGUUGGUGGGGUAAUGGCCUACCAAGGCGUCGACGGGUAGCCGGCCUGAGAGGGUGUACGGCCACAUUGGGACUGAGAUAAGGCCCCGACUCCUACGGGUGGACGCAGGGGGGAAUCUUGCACCAGGGGCGCCAGCCGGAUGCAGCGACGCCGCGUGGGGGAUGACGGUCUUCGGGUUGUAAAAGCCUUUCACUAGGGACGAAGCGUUUUGUGACGGUACCUGGAGAAGAAGCACCGGCUAACUACGUG